AUUGAACGCUGGCGGCAGGCCUAACACAUGCAAGUCGAGCGGAUGAAGGGAGCUUGCUCCUGGAUUCAGCGGCGGACGGGUGAGUAAUGCCUAGGAAUCUGCCUGGUAGUGGGGGAUAACGUCCGGAAACGGGCGCUAAUACCGCAUACGUCCUGAGGGAGAAAGUGGGGGAUCUUCGGACCUCACGCUAUCAGAUGAGCCUAGGUCGGAUUAGCUAGUUGGUGGGGUAAAGGCCUACCAAGGCGACGAUCCGUAACUGGUCUGAGAGGAUGAUCAGUCACACUGGAACUGAGACACGGUCCAGACUCCUACGGGAGGCAGCAGUGGGGAAUAUUGGACAAUGGGCGGAAGCAUGAUCCAGCCAUGCCGCGUGUGUGAAGAAGGUCUUCGGAUUGUAAAGCACUUUAAGUUGGGAGGAAGGGCAGUAAGUUAAUACCUUGCUGUUUUGACGUUACCAACAGAAUAAGCACCGGCCAACUUCGUG
rnacentral:rRNA from 1 species